rnacentral:rRNA from 1 species
CGGCCGCGGUACCCUAACCGUGCGAAGGUAGCAUAAUCACUUGUUCUUUAAAUGAGGACUCGUAUCAACGGCAUCACGAGGAUCCUACUGUCUCCCCCCUCUAAUCGGUGAAACUGAUCUCUCCGUGAAGAAGCGGAGAUGUACAUAUAAGACGAGAAGACCCCAUGGAGCUUUAAACCCAACAACACCCGCCCCCCUCCAAAUCCUAUUAUUUACCCGGUGAUUGUUUGUUUGGUUUUAGGUUGGGGUGACCGCGGAGUAUAAGAUAUCCUCCAUGAAAAAAGCUAACUGCCCUUAUUAGAGAAAGACACUUCCAAAAAAUAAUAAAUUAAUUUUAAAUGAUCCGACAUUCGAUCAACGAACCAAGUUACCCUGGGGAUAACAGCGCAAUCCGCCCCGAGAGCCCCUAUCGACAGGCGGGUUUACGACCUCGAUGUUGGAUCAGGGUAUCCCAGUGGUGCAGCAGCUACUAAAGGUUCGUUUGUUCAACGAUUAAAACCCUA